CGAUACCGGCUUCUUUGGCGAGAUCCUGUCCGUGCGCGGAGAAUUUGGCUAUUGGGUGUUCGAGGGCGAUGUCGUCUCGGCGCAGAGGCCAUCGUGGAAUUACCGCAAGGAAGAUGGCGGCGGCGUGAUCAUCGACAUGCUCUGCCAUUGGCGAUAUGUGCUCGAUAACCUCUUCGGCGAGGUCAAGGCGGUUUCGUGCCUGGGCGCGACGC
rnacentral:misc_RNA from 1 species